UCCAAAGAUAGAGGGAUCUGUCAAGCCAAAGUGGUGACUGGUGAAGCAGAAGGGUGAAGAGGAGAUCAUGAAUAAAUAGGGGCAUCAUGUGAGUCAUGUGACCAGUAUCAUGUGACUCACCAGUGUUCAGUACUUUGGGGAGGAUGGAGAAAGGCAGAAAGCAGAGGAAUUCACUCCAGCACACACACAUGUGCCUGAGGAAUUUCAGAAGAAACAAUGAUGAAUCAAUAGGAUUGACAAAACUGUGUGUGUAGUAGACUAAGAUUAAGCUAAACCUUGUGAAAAUGAAUAAUUAACAUGGUAACACACACUGACAUGUUGACAAUCUUAACACAUAGCCGCACUAUUGUUUUAAAGAUACGGAUUUGAGUGCUUGACAAUAGCGAAAUUGCUGAGAUCUGGCUUCUGUUUGGUUAAGAUUUAGACUUAAAAAUAAAUAAAAGACAGAAAAUAUGUGAAUUUCCCUGGAGUGUGUGCCACCGUCCUGAUCAUAAAUAAAGCUUAAAGAUGCACACACAAUUCAUACUUUACGAGAUAUACAGUGCCUUGCGUAAGGAUUUAGAGCCCUUGCAUUUCUUCACAUUUUAUUGUGUUACAAAGUAGGAUUAAAAUUGAUUUAAUUUCAAUCUUAAUUAAAAUAGGCUUUCCACCUGGAAGCACUUAUUUCUGGACAUGAAGUACAAACAAGAACAAAUACAAAUCAAUGUUUUAACGUAAUGUUAUUUGCUUUGGUAGUUACAACAUUUUUGGGGGCUUAGCACAUUUCGUUUGGGUUAGCAAAAUCAAAGAAAGUCUAUUUAUUGUUAUCAUUACUAAUAAUCAAAGUCCAAAGAUAGAGGCCACUCAACUGUAUUAUCAUAAUUAGAGCUAGGGUCUGCUAAACUACUGUAUGACCCCAGUGACCCCAGACCGACAUAUCAUGGUGCAGUUGUUCCAGGACCUCAUCAGUUCUGCUGCGCUCAGCUCCUGCCAGCUGAUGAAGUUGUGAAAGGGAACUCCCCUUUUCAUGUGUGUGUGUGUGUGUGUGUGUGUGUGUGUGUGUGUGUGUGUGUG